rnacentral:rRNA from 1 species
GCGGACGGGCUGAAGUAAUGCCUAGGAAUCUGCCUGGUGGUGGGGGAUAACGUUCGGAAACGGACGCUAAUACCGCAUACGUCCUACGGGAGAAAGCGGGGGACCUUCGGGCCUCGCGCCAUCAGAUGAGCCUAGGUCGGAUUAGCUAGUUGGUGAGGUAACGGCUCACCAAGGCGACGAUCCGUAACUGGUCUGAGAGGAUGAUCAGUCACACUGGAACUGAGACACGGUCCAGACUCCUACGGGAGGCAGCAGUGGGGAAUAUUGGACAAUGGGCGAAAGCCUGAUCCAGCCAUGCCGCGUGUGUGAAGAAGGUCUUCGGAUUGUAAAGCACUUUAAGUUGGGAGGAAGGGCAGUAACUUAAUACGUUGCUGUUUUGACGUUACCGACAGAAUAAGCA